GUUCCAGGGAAUCAGGUGGGAGACAGCUGCAGAAGAAAUGAUUGCUUCAUUUCAAACUUCCUGACUGCCGUGGAGCCAUCUGGCAUGUGCGCAUGUGUAGGAGUAGCUCAGAGAAGAAGGGGUGAUAUAACACAUGAUUUCAACAUGGUAGCUGAACACUGGCUUUAGAUCUCUCUCCCUGGCCAGGGAGAUCAGGAUUAAGUGUCAUAUAGCUGUGCUCCCCAACCCCUUGUGCUGCGGACUGGUAUUGGUUGCACGGCAGGAAGGGAGCAGCCAGUGAGCUAGAGAGCAGCUUCAUCUCCAUCUACAGCCGCUCCCGUUGCUGGCAUCACCACCUGAGC